rnacentral:rRNA from 2 species
UGGGGAAUAUUGGACAAUGGGCGCAAGCCUGAUCCAGCCAUGCCGCGUGAGUGAUGAAGGCCCUAGGGUUGUAAAGCUCUUUCACCGGUGAAGAUAAUGACGGUAACCGGAGAAGAAGCCCCGGCUAACUUCGUGCCAGCAGCCGCGGUAAUACGAAGGGGGCUAGCGUUGUUCGGAUUUACUGGGCGUAAAGCGCACGUAGGCGGACUAUUAAGUCAGGGGUGAAAUCCCGGGGCUCAACCCCGGAACUGCCUUUGAUACUGGUAGUCUUGAGUUCGAGAGAGGUGAGUGGAAUUCCGAGUGUAGAGGUGAAAUUCGUAGAUAUUCGGAGGAACGCCAGUGGCGAAGGCGGCUCACUGGCUCGAUACUGACGCUGAGGUGCGAAAGCGUGGGGAGCAAACAGG